GAUUAACGCUGGCGGCGUGCCUAACACAUGCAAGUCGAACGAGGUAGCAAUACCUAGUGGCAGACAGGUGAGUAACGCGUGGUCAACCUACCGUUGAGUGGGGGAUAACUAGCCGAAAGGUUAGCUAAUACCGCAUACGUCUCCGAGUGGCAUCACUUGGCGAUAAAAGGAGCAAUCCGCUCGAUGACGGGACCGCGUCCCAUUAGCUAGAUGGUGGGGUAACGGCCUACCAUGGCACCGAUGGGUAGCUGGUUUGAGAGAGCGACCAGCCACACUGGGACUGAGAAACGGCCCAGACUCCUACGGGAGGCAGCAGUGAGGAAUUUUCCGCAAUGGGCGCAAGCCUGACGGAGCGACGCCGCGUGUGGGAAGAAGG
rnacentral:rRNA from 1 species